rnacentral:rRNA from 1 species
AUUGAACGCUGGCGGCAGGCUUAACACAUGCAAGUCGAGCGGAGAUGAGGUGCUUGCACCUUAUCUUAGCGGCGGACGGGUGAGUAAUGCUUAGGAAUCUGCCUAUUAGUGGGGGACAACAUUCCGAAAGGAAUGCUAAUACCGCAUACGUCCUACGGGAGAAAGCAGGGGAUCUUCGGACCUUGCGCUAAUAGAUGAGCCUAAGUCGGAUUAGCUAGGUUGUGGGGUAAAGGCCUACCAAGGCGACGAUCUGUAGCGGGUCUGAGAGGAUGAUCCGCCACACUGGGACUGAGACACGGCCCAGACUCCUACGGGAGGCAGCAGUGGGGAAUAUUGGACAAUGGGGGGAACCCUGAUCCAGCCAUGCCGCGUGUGUGAAGAAGGCCUUAUGGUUGUAAAGCUCUUUAAGCGAGGAGGAGGCUACUGAGACUAAUACUCUUGGAUAGUGGACGUUACUCGCAGAAUAAGCACCGGCUAACUCUGUGCCAGCCGCCGCAGUAA